UUUUAGCUCACCUGGCCCAAAGGGCCAAGUGAGCUUUUCUCAUCACUUGGCGUCCGGCGUCCGGCGUCGUCCGUCGUCGUCGUCGUCCGUCGUCCUGCGUUAACUUUUACAAAAAUCUUCUCCUCUGAAACUACUGGGCCAAAUUUAACCAAACUUGGCCACAAUCAUCAUUGGGGUAUCUAGUUUAAAAAAUGUGUCCGGUGACCCGGCCAACCAACCAAGAUGGCCGCCAUGGCUAAUAAUAGAACAUAGGGGUAAAAUGCAGUUUUUGGCUUAUAACUCAAAAACCAAAGCAUUUAGAGCAAAUCUGACAUGGGGUAAUAUUGUUCAACAGGUCAAGAUCUAUCUGCCCUGAAAUUUUCAGUUGAAUCGGACAUUUCGUUGUUGGGUUGCUGCCCCUGAAAUGGUAAUUUUAAGGAAAUUUUGUUUUUUGGUUAUUAUCUUGAAUAUUAUUAUAGAUAGAGAUAAACUGUAAACAGCAAUAAUGUUCAGCAAAGUAAGAUCUACAAAUAAGUCAACAUGAUCAAAAUGGUCAGUUGACCACUUUAGGAGUUAUUGCCCUUUAUAGUCAAUUUUUAACCAUUUUUCGUAAAUCUUAGUAAUCUUUUAGAAAAAUCUUCUCCUCUGUAACUACUGGGUCAAAUUUAACCAAACUUGGCCAUAAUCAUCAUUGGGGUAUCUAGUUUAAAAAAUGUGUCCGGUGCCCCGCCCAACCAACCAAGAUGGCCGCCAUGGCUAAAAAUAGAACAUAGGGGUAAAAUGCAGUUUUUGGCUUAUAACUCAAAAAACCAAAGCAUUUAGAGCAAAUCUGACAUGGGGUAAAAUUGUUCAUCAGGUCAAGAUCUAUCUGCCCUGAAAUUUUCAGAUGAAUCGGACAUUCCGUUGUUGGGUUGCUGCCC
rnacentral:lncRNA from 1 species